GAUGAACGCUGGCGGCGUGCCUAAUACAUGCAAGUCGAGCGAACAGACGAGGAGCUUGCUCCUCUGAUGUUAGCGGCGGACGGGUGAGUAACACGUGGAUAACCUACCUAUAAGACUGGGAUAACUUCGGGAAACCGGAGCUAAUACCGGAUAACAUGUUGAACCGCAUGGUUCAACAGUGAAAGACGGUCUUGCUGUCACUUAUAGAUGGAUCCGCGCCGCAUUAGCUAGUUGGUAAGGUAACGGCUUACCAAGGCAACGAUGCGUAGCCGACCUGAGAGGGUGAUCGGCCACACUGGAACUGAGACACGGUCCAGACUCCUACGGGAGGCAGCAGUAGGGAAUCUUCCGCAAUGGGCGAAAGCCUGACGGAGCAACGCCGCGUGAGUGAAGAAGGUCUUCGGAUCGUAAAACUCUGUUAUUAGGGAAGAACAAAUGUGUAAGUAACGAUGCACGUCUUGACGGGACCUAAUCAGAAAGCCACGGCUAACUACGU
rnacentral:rRNA from 1 species